AGGAUUGCAGUGAUCGCUUUGUUGAUCUAUCACCGAACUCUAUAGAUGCAUUACUGAAACUUGACGAAGAUCGAGUAAUAACUGGGUGUGAGAAUGGGCUUAUCAGCCUGGUUGGCAUAUUACCGAACAAGAUCAUUCAGCCAAUUGGCGAGCACUCAGAAUACCCUGUUGAACGUCUUGCCUUUUCUCAUGAUAGAAAGUAUCUUGGAAGUGCAUCACAUGACCAUUUACUGAAAUUGUGGGAUCUGAAUGAGCUGGUGCAAGAAUCUGAAGAUGGUGUCAAGAAUGAUUCAAGUGCUGAAGAUAGUGAUAAUGAUGGGAUGGAUGUUGAUGAUAAUAUACCAAAAUCUUCCAAAGGGAGCAAGAAGAAAAAUGUAAAUAAAGGGCCAGAUCCUGGGAGUUCGAACAGUUUCUUUGCGGAAUUAUGAUAUGAUGUUUCAUUGGUCUUGGAAGAGCAGAGUCAUGGUUUCAAUCCUGCUGUUUUGAGUGCUUACGAACAGCCUGGUAAGAAAGGAGGUAUAAGUUAUAUGGUGAUGCCCUAUUCCCUGCCCCCCUGCAGGGUUUAGGAAGCUGAUUGAUCGAUUCUCUGAGGGUCUUGAUGUUUUUGGACGCGUGUAUUAUACAAGUUUUUGGGUACUCUGUGAUAAGUAUCAAUUCUGGUUUUAGGGUCGUGUAUUAUUGGUGCAUUGAUUUUUUGGAAGGUUAUCCAUAUUUCAUAGUCAUGUAGUAUAAACACCAUUGAUCUGAGUAAAUAU
rnacentral:misc_RNA from 1 species